rnacentral:rRNA from 1 species
GGGUCAAGGCAUGCAGAUUUUACCAUUCUGCCACCGAAUACAUUAGCAUGGGAUAAUGGAAUAGGACCCUGUCCUCCUAUUUUCCGCGUUGGUUUUCGAGGACCAGGGUAAUGAUUAAUAGGGAUAGUUGGGGGCAUUAAUAUUUAAUUGUCAGAGGUGAAAUUCUUGGAUUUAUGAAAGAUUAACUUCUGCGAAAGCAUCUGCCAAGGAUGUUUUCAUUAAUCAAGAACGAAAGUUAGGGGAUCGAAGACGAUCAGAUACCGUCGUAGUCUUAACCAUAAACGAUGCCGACCAGCGAUUAGGAGACGUUGAAUACAAAACACCACCAUCAGGCAGUGAGAUCGUGCCUCAUUCCGGCAACGGGUGGGGGCGGUUUCAUUCCCCUGAUGGCCCGGUGAAUGACUCCCUACCCCUUGGGGA